rfam:Phycisphaerae bacterium ST-NAGAB-D1, complete genome.
GGUCAAGUUACUAAGGGUGCAUGGGGGAUGUCUAGGUGCCGAGAGGCGAUGAAGGACGUGGCUGGCUGCGAUAAGCUCGGGUUAGGUGUCAAGCAACCGUUAACCCCGAGAUUUCUGAAUGGGAUUACCCGGCAGGACAGGGCAACCUGAUCUUGUCAUCCAUGGCUGAAUGCAUAGGCCAUGUGAGGCUAACGCAGGGAACUGAAACAUCUAAGUACCUGCAGGAAAGAAAAUCAACCGAGACUUCGUUAGUAGCGGCGAGCGAAAGCGAAACAGCCCAAACCGGAGAGCUUGCUCUUCGGGGUUGUGGGCACUGAUAAGGAGUUACAAAGGCAACACCAGUAGAACGGUCUGGAAAGUCCGACCACAGAAGGUGAAAGUCCUGUACACGAAAGUGUUUGCCCUCCGUUAUUAUCAGUGUUCCAGAGUAGCACGGGACUCGUGAAACCCUGUGUGAAACUGGGGGGACCACCCUCCAAGGCUAAGUACUACUCGGCAACCGAUAGUGAAAAGUAGGGCGACCGAACGAUGAAAAGCACCCCUAUUAGGGGAGUUAAAAGUACCUGAAACCAUGCACUUACAAGCUGUAGGAGCUCUAUGGUCGGUCUUCGGACCGACAAUGGGUGACUGCGUGCCUUUCGCAUAAUGAGCCGGCGAGUUACCGUUUGUGGCAAGGUUAAGCAUUUAAGAUGCGGAGCCGUAGCGAAAGCGAGUCUAAAUAGGGCGAUUAAGUCGCAGGUGGUAGACGCGAAACCAGGUGAUCAACCCAUGGCCAGGAUGAAGGGGAUGUAAUAAUCCCUGGAAGACCGAACCCACUAACGUUGAAAAGUUAGGGGAUGAGCUGUGGGGAGGAGUAAAAGUCUAAUCAAACCUGGAGAUAUCUCGUUCUCUCCGAAAUAGCUUUAGGGCUAGCCUCAGGUUACUACUUUACGGGGGUAGAGCUACUGAUUGGGGAUAGGGGGCCACCAGCCUACCUACCCUUACCAAACUCCGAAUACCGUAAAGACUAUCCUGGGAGUCAGACCGCGGGUGAUAACAUUCGCGGUCAAGAGGGAAACAACCCAGAUCGCCAGUUAAGGUCCCAAAUUUAUGCUGAGUUACUAAGGAAGUCAAAUUGCUGUGACAAUCGGGAUGUUGGCUUAGAAGCAGCCACCAUUUAAAAAGUGCGUAAUAGCUUACCGAUCGAGCAAUUUGGUGCCUAUAAUGAACGGGAAUAAGCAUAAAACCGAAACUGCGGAUAUCCGGUUUUACCGGAUGUGGUAGGAGAGCGUAGCUGUCAGCGUAGAAGCGGUACGGAAACGAGCCGUGGAGCGUCAGCUAGUGAUUAUGCCGGCAUGAGUAACGAUAAAACAGGUGAGAAUCCUGUUCGCCGAAAGCCUAAGGUUUCCUGGGGAAGGGAAAUCCGCCCAGGGUUAGUCGGUCCCUUAGUCGAGACCGAAAGGUGUAGACGAUGGACAGCAGGUUAAUAUUCCUGCACCACGUUGUUGGACGAAAGUAGUGACGCAUUUCUCAAGGUGAUCCCGUGACUAGUCGUGCGGGUUCCGCAAGGUCGAGGCCAAUUAUGAUGCCGAAGUCGCCAGCAGAAGUGCCGAGAAAUAGCUGCUGUAGGUUGAAUUCAGCGUGACCGUACUAAAACUGACACAGGUAGGCGAGGAGAAUAUCCUAAGGCGCUCGAGAGAACCGUCCUUAAGGAACUCGGCAAAUUGACCCCGUAAGUUCGCGAUAAGGGGUCCCUCCAGAGCCAUUUAUUCUAUAGAUGGCUGCUGAGGGCGCAGUGAAGUGGCUCCGGCGACUGUUUACCAAAAACACAGUUCUCUGCUAACACGAAAAGUGGAUGUAUAGAGAAUGACGCCUGCUCGGUGCCGGAAGGUUAAGGGGAUGGGUUAGCACUUCGGUGCGAAGCUCCUAACUGAAGCCCCGGUAAACGGCGGCCGUAACUAUGACGGUCCUAAGGUAGCGAAGUUCCUUGUCGGGUAAGUUCCGACGUGCAUGAACGGCGUAACGACUGGAGCACUGUCUCAAGGACGGACUCGGUGAAAUUGCAAUUGUGGUGAAGAUGCCACAUACCCGCGGCAAGACGGAAAGACCCCGUGAACCUUUACUGUAGCCUGGUAUUGAUGCCUGGCUCAUCAUGCGUAGGAUAGGUGGGAGGCUGUGAACUGGCGUUUUCGGACGUCAGGGAGCCAUCCUUGAAAUACCACCCUUGGUGUGUUAGUCACCUAACUGUAACCCUUGAAUCAGGGUAUGGGACAGUGCUAGGUGGGCAGUUUGACUGGGGCGGUCUCCUCCCAAAAGGUAACGGAGGAGUUCAAAGGUACCCUCAGCAUGGUUGGCAAUCAUGCAAAGAGUGCAAAGGCAUAAGGGUGCUUAACUGUGAGACUUAUCGGUCAAGCAGAUACGAAAGUAGGACUUAGUGAUCCGGUGGUCCCGAGUGGAAGGGCCAUCGCUCAUCAGAUAAAAGGUACUCCGGGGAUAACAGGCUUAUCGCCUCCGAGCGUUCAUAGCGGCGAGGCGGUUUGGCACCUCGAUGUCGGCUCAUCACAUCCUGGGGCUGUAGGAGGUCCCAAGGGUUCGGCUGUUCGCCGAUUAAAGUGGUACGCGAGCUGGGUUCAGACCGACGUGAGUCAGGUCGGUCCCUAUCUGCCGUGGGCGCAGGAAUCUUGAGGGGAUGUUUCCUUAGUACGAGAGGAUUGGGAAGCACUGACCUCUGGUGUAUCGGUUGUGCUGCUAAGUGCACCGCCGAGUAGCUAAGUCGGGAAAGGAUAACCGCUGAAAGCAUCUAAGCGGGAAGCCCACCCUAAGAUAAGGAUUCCAUGGACUUCGGUCCUGAAGACCCCAGAUAGACGAUCUGGUUGAUAGGCCGGGUGUGUAAGCGUCGAAAUACGUUAAGCUAACCGGUACUAACGGUCAAGCACUUGACCAU